rnacentral:rRNA from 1 species
GGGCCCCGCACAAGCAGCGGAGCGUGUGGUUUAAUUCGAUGCUACACGAAGAACCUUACCUGGGUUUGACAUAGCAGUGGUAGGGAAGCGAAAGCGGACCGACCCUUCGGGGAGCUGUUACAGGUGUUGCAUGGCUGUCGUCAGCUCGUGUCGUGAGAUGUUCGGUUAAGUCCGCUAACGAGCGCAACCCGCGUUGUGUGUUACAAGUGUCACACAAUACCGCCGGUAUUAAGUCGGAGGAAGGUGCGGAUGACGUCAAGUCAGCAUGACCUUUAUAUCCAGGGCUACACACACGCUACAAUGGUCAGCACAAUAGGUUGCCAAGUCGUGAGACGGAGCCAAUCCUCCAAAGCUGGCCUCAGUUCAGAUUGUAGGCUGCAACCCGCCUGCAUGAAGUUGGAGUUGCUAGUAACCGCAGGUCAGCUAUACUGCGGUGAAUACGUUCCCGGGGAUU